rnacentral:lncRNA from 1 species
GUUGAAAGACGGAAGAACCUCAGAUAAAUACCGCUUCCUGGCGUGAGGUGGCUGACACCACUCUGAUGCGCCACGUAAAUGGUCUGAGACCAAGAGGGAAGAGGGCAGCCCACCCGUCCAGCACCCCACGGUCCCAGUGCCCCGCCCUCCCAGGAUGCUGGCCUCUUCUCCGCUCCUGGAGCUGUCUUGUGGCCUGAAGCAGAGGGAGUGGCGCUACCACCCCAAGGCGGCAGCCCUGGGGAUGCCGAGUCCUGCCAUCUUCGUGUGGAGGCCCCAGGGCCUUCCUGCUGCUUCGCAGCUGGGAACCUGCCUGGGGGACUGAAGCAGGGUGAGUCAGGAACUGAGGCAAACCAGCCCGUCUGCAUCAGAUUUACCGCGUUGCUCGGCCAGCUUUCUCCUUACCAGGUGGGUGGACCCAUGUCUGUAAGCUCCGCCCAGCUCUGACACUCUGUGAUUCACUGGGGCCACAGGAAAAAUGAUCUGCUAAGAGCCUUCCUUCUCUUUUUCUGUUUUGUGUAACAGAGAAGCCGAGAGGAGAAAUGAGGAUGUAAAGCGAAGGAACAGCCCAGGGAUGGACGGGCCCGGGGAGCGGGCCUGCCCAGGCCAGGUGGGGAAGGCGUCAUGACGCCCCGCUCCUCCCCGGGCAGCUUCCCCGCGCUCCUGCGUGCUCCUCUGAAAAGAACGAGGCUUUUCCCUCUGUGGUGACAUCACACACACCCAGGGCUUGAGUCUUCCAGACCCGGGACCCGGCCUCUGAGACCUGGAAGUCCUCGUCCCACCCAGCAGGUCGCCCGCCACCUGAGUCUCCCCAGGUGCAGCGUUUCUGACUUCCAGGGUUAGGGGUCUGUGAGCGCAAGGCUAGUGUGACAUCCAACAGAGAAGGAAAGAAAAGGGCUGCCGGGACGCAGAAGAGAAGUGAAAAGCACUAGACUCCCCUCUCCCAGGAGACUGCCACGCGUCAAUGGAAGGGAGGUCUCUCUCUGUAAGCUCCCUCAGGUGCCCCAAAUGCCGCCUCGUUUUAGUUUGCUUCAGGUGUAGACCUUGACUUUCAUGCACAACUAUUUGUUUCUCCCAGAGUUAGUAAUACCUUCCUUUUAAUUUUACGUAUUUAGUUGUAAAUAGGAAAUAGAC